rnacentral:lncRNA from 12 species
CUGAAUUUUCACAUGCAACAGAACUUCCGUAUCUCCACCCCGAGACUUGAUAGAUCCUGAAAAUCAGACCCACAGUGGUGAAAGCUGGAUUCCCAAUUAAGAAUUCACAGGACUGUAGUUAGAGAAGACUACAGUACUUUUGGAAGGAUCAGAUCUGUUCAAAU